UACGUAGGGACCAAGCGUUGUCCGGAAUCAUUGGGCGUAAAGAGCGUGUAGGCGGCCUGUUAAGUCUUGCGUGAAAUCUCGGGGCUCAACCCCGAGCGGUCGUGAGAAACUGGCAGGCUAGAGUGCGGGAGAGGUGAGUGGAACUCCGAGUGUAGAGGUGAAAUUCGUAGAUAUUCGGAAGAACACCCGUGGCGAAGGCGGCUCUCUGGGACGGUACUGACGCUGAGACGCGAAAGCGUGGGGAGCGAACAGG
rnacentral:rRNA from 1 species